rnacentral:rRNA from 1 species
UACGUAGGGUCCGAGCGUUGUCCGGAAUUACUGGGCGUAAAGAGCUCGUAGGUGGUUUGUCGCGUUGUUCGUGAAAACUCACAGCUCAACUGUGGGCGUGCGGGCGAUACGGGCAGACUUGAGUACUGCAGGGGAGACUGGAAUUCCUGGUGUAGCGGUGAAAUGCGCAGAUAUCAGGAGGAACACCGGUGGCGAAGGCGGGUCUCUGGGCAGUAACUGACGCUGAGGAGCGAAAAGCGUGGGGGAGCGAACAGG